CCUACGGGCGGCAGCAGUGAGGAAUAUUGGUCAAUGGGCGGGAGACUGAACCAGCCAAGCCGCGUGAGGGAUGAAGGUACAGCGUAUCGUAAACCUCUUUUGUCAGGGAACAAAGGCGGGGACUUGUCCCCGGAUGAGGGUACCUGAAGAAAAAGCAUCGGCUAACUCCGUGCCAGCAGCCGCGGUAAUACGGAGGAUGCGAGCGUUAUCCGGAUUUAUUGGGUUUAAAGGGUGCGCAGGCGGUCUGUUAAGUCAGCGGUCAAAGCCCGGGGCUCAACCCCGGCCCGCAGUUGAAACCGGCAGUCUGGAGUUGGAGAGAAGUAUGCGGAAUGCGCGGUGUAGCGGUGAAAUGCAUAGAUAUCGCGCAGAACCCCGAUUGCGAAGGCAGCAUGCCGGCUCCACACUGACGCUGAGGCACGAAGGCGUGGGUAUCGAACAGGAUUAGAUACCCUUGUAGUC
rnacentral:rRNA from 1 species